rnacentral:lncRNA from 1 species
AUCUGACUACUGUGGAAAUCAUCCAAGUAAAUGGAACCCUUAUAAAUUUGAUAACACACAAAACAGGGGCGAUUUCACAAAAAAUUGAUCAUAACUAGACAAAGUCACGCCUUAGUUUAUUUUGAAACUUCAUAGACAAUGAAAACUAGAAAAUCUGCAUCUUCAAAGGAAAAACCAGAACUUCAUUGCAAAAGCAAAUGAAGAGCAGAUAGUGCAUUGGUACUUCUCCUUCGUAUGUCAAUACCAAAGAAAGGACCUACCCGCUACUGACAAAUUAUGCUAUACAUAUGAGAAAAUAAAAUUACCUUCUGCACAAAAUUCUUCCUACUUUGAUUCUUCAUUUUGGUUUAAUACAAAUGCUCUCAACCAACAAAUAUACUUCUAGAACAAAACAAAUAGACAAACUUAGAUCUGAGUGUUUAUCAAACGAAUUAGACUAAAAAAUAGACUAGGCAUAAAUAAGCACAUCAAAGAACUCAAAUGAUGUCAAAUUAGGAAGUAAAUUAUGUGCAUCAACUUUAGACUAGUCAGUACUAUACAAGGCAGUGCCAAAAGAUCCAAUUUCCUUGUUGGAGAUUGUCAUCCUGCGCUUCUUUAAACAAAUGGAAAGAUCGAGAAGCAAAUAAGUUCACUCACAAUUCUCGAGGUUGCCAAUUAUUUGAAACUGAAAUCUGAACAUAUUGUCUGCGAUAUUUGUAUAGCACUCAAUCAAGAGAUGAAUUAAAAGGACAGCAAAACCGAACAAGAAAGCAUAGUACUAAACAAUCACACAUAUUAGCUUACUUCUUUUAUCAAUCAAGCACACGAACUACUGCACAUAUAGAUAUGCCUAGCAAAGGUCAAUUGGAAGCCUGAUUCAUGAAUUUCAAACUAGCACACACAAAAUCUGAUUUGGCGCAAACAUGGUCAAGUUGAUCAUAACACUUCGAGUAGAUUUCUCGUUUGAGAACCAAGGGGAAUCAUUAAAGACAAUUCUAACUGGAUUCACCUAUUCAAUUCCAGACGCGGCUUACAAUCAUUAGCACAUUGAUAACGGGAUUCAAAAGGAUCUAAGGCUAAACUGAGAGUAAAUGACUUAUAGUCCAGAAUUUCCACCUAGAAUAUACAAUUUGAACAAAGACCAACCCUCGAUUUACUGGAAAUCAAUGUCAAAACCAAAGAAUCUCAUGAAUGAAUCUGAUGAACCGAGUUGAUGGUUUAAAACACUUAUCUCUUUACACAACCCAUUAAAAACUAAUACCAGCAAGAGCAAAAUAAAUACUACAGCCAAAUGACGGACAUACAACCAUGAACUGGUGGAUUCACAUUUCAAGUUUUCAACACAAACGCACGAAUACCAUAUUCCAAACGGACUAAUAAAACAGACCAUUCAUUGUUUAAAGUUACAUUCAAUCAUUCAGAAAAAAUAAUAAAGGCAUGCAAUCAAAGUUACACAAAUCCACAGCUCAUCGCGUGUUCAACCAAUCAUCAAAACAACUAAGAAAGGCCAAGAGAAGAACCUGAAGUUGUGAAACUCUUCAUUUAAAACCCAACUUAAUCCAGCAAUGAAUAUUCAAAGAAACAGCGGCGGACAAACAGGAAUUGAAUCAGCAACAAGACUUUGAGGUCGAACUUGAUUCUCGACUUAAUCGAUUCCCAUGUUGAAAACAAAAUUUGAAAAAAAAAAUUGAACUGAAGAUUACUGAGCUAACUAUAUAUUUUUUGUUUCUUUUUCUGGUUCUGAAUUUUUUAAAAAAAACGAGAUUAAACAAAGGAGGAAAUCCCAAAAAAAAAUGAGAAAUACAAAAGUUCUAAAAUCUAACAGACAGAGCAAACUCUUUCUGAAAAAAAAAACUCUUCGAAAAGAAAAAAAACCUCUCUCAAUCCCCAGAAUCCUCACCAUAUAUAGCCUUUAUAGCUCUUCUCGAACCUUCCCCACACACCCCUCCGAAAUUCUUUGCAAUUUCUUUUCUGUGAAUAAUUUUUGGACAGAUAGAGGGGAAGAUUGAUUUUCAUCCAUCCACGACCCCUAUUUAUCCAGCGAAUCGAUCUGGAGCUAAACAACACGCAAAAAAAUUGUGAAUGGAAUCUUCUAUUUGUAAGAAACCAUUAUACGGCGGUGACGAUGAGAUAGGGGGAAGCGUGAGGUGAAUUUAAAUUCACACUCCUGAGAUUUGGCGAGUUGAACUCAGCUGACAGGAAGGAGAAGAUGAACAGUCACGUCUGGAUUAGGGACUUUGAGUUUUAGGUCUGUGUAUGUAUCUGUAUGUGUGUAUAUGGGAAAUGGGUCGAGUUUGGGGUAGACCUGCGGGUAAUUGUUAUUUCGGCUAAGG